ACCAGACUUGCCCUCCAAUAGAUCCUCGUUAAAGGAUUUAAAUUGUACCCAUUCCGAUGACAGACCUCGAAGAGGACUGUCUCGUUAUUUUUCGUCACUACCUCUCCGUUCUGGAAGUGGGUAAUUUGCGCGCCUGCUGCCUUCCUUGGAUGUGGUAGCCGUUUCUCAGGCUCCCUCUCCGGAGUCGAACCCUUAUUCUCCGUUACCCGUUACUACCAUGGUAGGCGUAUAACCUACCAUCGAAAGUUGAUAAGGCAGACACUUGAAAGAUACAUCGCCGGUACUAGGACCGUGCGAUUGGCAAAGUUAUUCAGAUUCACCAAAUUACGGGCCGAGACCCGAUUGGUUUUUAUUCUAAUAAAUGCGCUCGUUCCUCGCGGGCGGAGCUUUUUUGCAUGUAUUAGCUCUAGAAUUGCCACAGUUAUCCAAGUAGGAUAACGAUAUUCUAAUAAACGGUGGCUGUUGUAAUGAGCUAUUCGCGGCUUCACCGUAUUAAGGCAUGUGCUUAGACAUGCAUGGCUUAAUCUUUGAGACAAGCAUAUGACUACUGGCAGGAUCAACCAG
rnacentral:rRNA from 1 species